AUUUCUCAGCAUUUUCCUGUUGGGAUGAGACCUAGUUGAUCCUUUUGAGUUGACUUCAUCAAUUCGAAAGUCCACUGGGAAGGCCCCGCAAAAUUUCUUCUCUCAAGUCAGCCAUAAAAAUCGGCGUACUUUUCAGAGUUUGAAGAAUAUGAAGCUAGUUGAAAAGUUGAAGUUUUGGGGCCCAAAGUUCACACAUUUUUUAAUGUUAUAUUUUGUUAAUUUUUGAG
rnacentral:misc_RNA from 1 species